rnacentral:rRNA from 1 species
AAACUCAAAUGAAUUGACGGGACCGCACAAGCGGUGGAUGAUGUGGUUUAAUUCGAUGCAACGCGAAAAACCUUACCCACCUUUGACAUGUACGGAAUCCUUUAGAGAUAGAGGGUGCUCGAAAGAGAACCGUAACACAGGUGCUGCAUGGCUGUCGUCAGCUCGUGUCGUGAGAUGUUGGGUUAAGUCCCGCAACGAGCGCAACCCUUGUCAUUAGUUGCUACAUUUAGUUGGGCACUCUAAUGAGACUGCCGGUGACAAACCGGAGGAAGGUGGGGAUGACGUCAAGUCCUCAUGGCCCUUAUAGGUGGGGCUACACACGUCAUACAAUGGAUGGUACAAAGGGUCGCCAACCCGCGAGGGGGAGCCAAUCCCAUAAAGCCAUUCGUAGUCCGGAUCGCAGUCUGCAACUCGACUGCGUGAAGUCGGAAUCGCUAGUAAUCGUGGAUCAGAAUGUCACGGUGAAUACGUUCCCGGGUCUU